rnacentral:rRNA from 1 species
GUGGGGAAUAUUGGGCAAUGGGCGCAAGCCUGACCCAGCCAUGCCGCGUGAGUGACGACGGCCUUAGGGUUGUAAAGCUCUUUUGGCGGGGACGAUAAUGACGGUACCCGCAGAAUAAGCCCCGGCUAACUUCGUGCCAGCAGCCGCGGUAAUACGAAGGGGGCUAGCGUUGUUCGGAAUCACUGGGCGUAAAGCGCACGUAGGCGGACUUUCAAGUCAGGGGUGAAAUCCCGGGGCUCAACCUCGGAACUGCCUUUGAUACUGUUGGUCUCGAGUCCGAUAGAGGUGGGUGGAAUUCCUAGUGUAGAGGUGAAAUUCGUAGAUAUUAGGAAGAACACCGGUGGCGAAGGCGGCCCACUGGAUCGGUACUGACGCUGAGGUGCGAAAGCGUGGGGAGCAAACAGGAUUAGAUACCCGGGUAGUCC